ACUCCUACGGGAGGCAGCAGUGGGGAAUAUUGCGCAAUGGGCGAAAGCCUGACGCAGCGACGCCGCGUGAGGGAUGACGGCCUUCGGGUUGUAAACCUCUUUCAGCAGGGACGAAGCGCAAGUGACGGUACCUGCAGAAGAAGCACCGGCCAACUACGUGCCAGCAGCCGCGGUAAUACGUAGGGUGCAAGCGUUGUCCGGAAUUAUUGGGCGUAAAGAGCUCGUAGGCGGUUUGUCGCGUCGGCUGUGAAAACUCGGGGCUCAACCCCGAGCCUGCAGUCGAUACGGGCAGACUAGAGUGCUGUAGGGGAGACUGGAAUUCCUGGUGUAGCGGUGAAAUGCGCAGAUAUCAGGAGGAACACCGGUGGCGAAGGCGGGUCUCUGGGCAGUAACUGACGCUGAGGAGCGAAAGCGUGGGGAGCGAACAGGAUUAGAUACCCUGGUAGUCCACGCCGUAAACGGUGGGUGCUAGGUGUGAGCGGUAUUCCACGCCGUUCGUGCCGCAGCUAACGCAUUAAGCACCCCGCCUGGGGAGUACGGCCGCAAGGCUAAAACUCAAAGGAAUUGACGGGGGCCCGCACAAGCAGCGGAGCAUGUGGCUU
rnacentral:rRNA from 1 species